GUUACUACUCGAUUCGGUCGAGGUUGGAGAGAGGAUGACUGAGCUCCGUGUAGAGAUGUUGGUGCUAGAGUGACCUACAAAAUAAGUCCAAAUCAGAGGUUUUCGCUCCGACGAGGACUCUUCAAUGCUCAAGUCAGAUUCAGAAAAUAAACAGAGCAGCAACGAGUUCUCUGAAAGGGUUUGCUUACCUUGAUCCUCGAGGCUUGGUUGUUUAUAUAGAAUGUCGUCGAAC
rnacentral:lncRNA from 1 species